rnacentral:rRNA from 1 species
UACGUAGGGAGCGAGCGUUGUCCGGAUUCAUUGGGCGUAAAGAGCUCGUAGGCGGCUUGAUAAGUCGGAUGUGAAACCUCCAGGCUCAACCUGGAGUCGCCAUCCGAUACUGUCAUGGCUAGAGUCCGGUAGGGGCCCACGGAAUUCCUGGUGUAGCGGUGAAAUGCGCAGAUAUCAGGAGGAACACCAGUGGCGAAGGCGAGUCCCUGGACAACUUCUGACGCUGAGGCACGAAAGCUAGGGGAGCAAACAGG